rnacentral:rRNA from 1 species
AACGAACGCUGGCGGCAUGCCUAACACAUGCAAGUCGAACGAAGUCUUCGGACUUAGUGGCGCACGGGUGCGUAACGCGUGGGAAUCUGCCCUUGGGUACGGAAUAACUCAGGGAAACUUGAGCUAAUACCGGAUGACGACGAAAGUCCAAAGAUUUAUCGCCGAGGGAUGAGCCCGCGUAGGAUUAGGUAGUUGGUGGGUUAAAGGCCUACCAAGCCGACGAUCCUUAGCUGGUCUGAGAGGAUGAUCAGCCACACUGGGACUGAGACACGGCCCAGACUCCUACGGGAGGCAGCAGUGGGGAAUAUUGGACAAUGGGGGAAACCCUGAUCCAGCAAUGCCGCGUGAGUGAUGAAGGCCUUAGGGUCGUAAAGCUCUUUUACCAGGGAUGAUAAUGACAGUACCUGGAGAAUAAGCUCCGGCUAACUCCGUG